UACGUAGGGUCCGAGCGUUGUCCGGAAUUACUGGGCGUAAAGAGCUCGUAGGUGGUUUGUCGCGUUGUUCGUGAAAACUCACAGCUUAACUGUGGGCGUGCGGGCGAUACGGGCAGACUGGAGUACUGCAGGGGAGACUGGAAUUCCCGGUGUAGCGGUGAAAUGCGCAGAUAUCGGGAGGAACACCGGUGGCGAAGGCGGUUCUCUGGGCCUUACCUGACGCUGAGGCGCGAAAGCGUGGGGAGCAAACAGG
rnacentral:rRNA from 1 species